GCAGUCGAGGGGCAGCGGAAGAUUACUUCGGUAGUUCUGCCGGCGACCGUCGCACGGGUGCGUAACGCGUAUGCAACCUACCUUCAACAGGGGGAUAAUCCGAAGAAAUUUGGUCUAAUACCCCAUAAUAUUCAGAGAGGCAUCUUUUUGAGUUGAAAACUCCGGUGGUUGAAGAUGGGCAUGCGUUGUAUUAGCUGGAUGGUGAGGUAACGGCUCACCAUGGCGAUGAUACAUAGGGGGACUGAGAGGUUUUCCCCCCACACUGGUACUGAGACACGGACCAGACUCCUACGGGAGGCAGCAGUGAGGAAUAUUGGUCAAUGGACGCAAGUCUGAACCAGCCAUGCCGCGUGCAGGAAGAAGGUGCUAUGCAUUGUAAACUGCUUUUAUACGGGGGUAAUUACAGAUACGUGUAUCUGGAUGAAAGUACCGUAUGAAUAAGGAUCGGCUAACUCCGUGCCAGCAGCCGCGGUAAUACGGAGGAUCCGAGCGUUAUCCGGAUUUAUUGGGUUUAAAGGGUGCGUAGGCGGUCAGGUAAGUUAGAGGUGAAAGCUCGAUGCUCAACAUCGAAACUGCCUCUGAUACUGUCUGACUAGAGUGUAGUUGCGGAAGGCGGAAUGUGUGGUGUAGCGGUGAAAUGCUUAGAUAUCACACAGAACACCGAUUGCGAAGGCAGCUUUCCAAGCUAUUACUGACGCUGAGGCACGAAAGCGUGGGGAGCGAACAGGAUUAGAUACCCUGGUAGUCCACGCAGUAAACGAUGAUA
rnacentral:rRNA from 1 species